CUACAUAUGAGGUGAAGAUGAAUUCCACACGCUUGUGUAUUUUUGGCUUGUAUCUGUUUUGUGUAAUGAGAAUAGGUUGUGGGCUUUUAUCAUGAAAUUUUCGACUUUUGCUUGUGGUUUCAAUGGCCUACAUCAGAUAGGUUCUUUAGAUGAUGCAUCUGUGUCAACUUGGUGUCGAAUAAAUGAUGCAUUGGAAUGUGAACCAUGUUUGUCACUUUCUUGGGAUUCUCUCAACAUAUGUGCUAAUGGGCAUGUCCAACGAAAUGGAAUUACUAUCAAAGCACCACCUGGAUGUGAACAAGAAACACCAAGCAUGCUGUGUUCUGCUGAAGAUCGGCUGGUGGCUCUGUAUCCUGAUGGCUCCACCUGGCUAAGGACAACUGCCUGGCGCCGACUAGCACUCCAGUCAGCUGGCCAGGAGACUGCUGAGCCUGCACGUCAUGUGGCUCACUGCUGACCCUGGACGGGGUACCGACACCGGCCGGUGAAUGGCUGCAGGCGGUCUCCUGCGGCCGAGAGCACGUGGUGCUGCUCACACGCUCCGGACGAGU
rnacentral:lncRNA from 1 species